UCUACCUCUUUUCCCUAUAACCUUCUAAUAUCAUUACAAAUUAGUACAAAUUUACAAUUCCAGAUCCAAUUUUUUUUUCUGCAUCUCCGGCUACUUUUCUUUCUCUGCAAAUUUUCAAAGGUACGUAAAGGACUCGUCGGAUUUUAUGUCCGCCGGCGAGGUAGAUUAGUUAGGUGUUUGUUCUGUUGAUUUGGUGGCAGGCGGCGUUGUUUGUGGGUCCAGUUUUGAUAUACAAAAAAAUUAGGGUAAGCGGUUUAUUUGGGCCUGGGCCUGUUGUUUGGGCGGAUCAGCCCAAACUCUGGUCAGUCUCGUGAUUGACAGCUGGAGGUUACUGGUCCGAUUUGUAAGGUCCAAACAUGUGUGAAAAUGAAUAUCUGCCCUGCAUCUUAGGCUGCGGUUGGACCAAAGCGAUUUCGUUUUAAUUUUUGUGGAAAUUAUCGUUAGCGUUAGUUUUUCUCGUGGAAAAAUUCUUCUCCUCCACAAAACAUUCACAAAAUUUAAACGUGUUAUAAAUAGAUUUCUAUUUAAGGUGAAUGUCUAUAAUUAGAGAGAUUCUAGAGUUUUAU
rnacentral:lncRNA from 1 species